CAGUGUCUGUUCUUUGCAAGAACAAUCGUUGGAUAUCACCUUCGAUUCAAGUCAAAAUACAUUGGAUUCUGCUCGAUGCCUCAUUCACUUGACCAAGCUCGUCGCCUCCGUCAAUUCAUUCCGGCCAAACCAAUAUUACUCUAUCCCUGGUUUCUGUUCUUCAUUCUUUAUUUUUCAGUUUCUUGUGUGAUUGUAUGUUUAAUUUAGUUUUUGGUCAGUUCCUAGUUGUUUUCGUGUGUCGUUUUGCUCUUUUGUUAAGUUGCUUAUGCCUGUUUGGGGCCUUUAUUUGCAUUUUUUUUAGAGAUUCUUGUCCCCCUCAUUAUGGCAGUUUUCAUUUUCUAGUUUGGUAAUAUUGGGCUUCGAAAACAGAGGCCCAGUGAUAGAAAUCAAUUUGGAUCAACAUUGCCCCAAUCUUGCUCUGAAUUCUCAAGGGGUAAUAACAGGGGUGGUAAAGGGUAUUAUAGGAUUUAGAUUAGGUGGGAAUCAAAUUCUAUUGGGGAAGGUUCUAGUAGAUGGGGAAGUCACAUUUUCUAUUUGGGAAGGGUAGGAUGUUAGUUUGGGGGGAAAAUAAAUGGAAGGUCCUAGAAGCCUUUAGUAUUUUAUUUGGCCUAUAAAAGGCAUGAUCUCUGCCUUGUUGAAUAAGUUUGGAAGGAAGCCUAAAAAAAUUCCCCCAAAUACUCCAAAAACACUUAUUUCAAGCUUCCAGAUCUGAAAUUCAAAUUUCAGAUCUGAAAUUCCUUAGAUCUUAGCUCAUUCAAUCAGAAAAACCAAAAACAAUAAAAAAAUAAAAAAAAAAAUCCAAAAACAAUAGAAAAACCCCAAAAACAUUGUUCUAUUUAAGUUCUGUUUGAAUUUAAUUGUUUAGAUGUUCAUUCACACCUCUCUAGUUCAAUUUCUGGUUGUUUUACCUGGAUGAAAUUUGCAGAAGUUAUUUUAGCCUGAUUUAAGGUCUAAACUGGCUCAUUCAAGCUGUAGUAAAGGUGUUUUGGUAGAAUUUUGGUCUGUUGAAGUCCAGGAAGUGUUCUGAGUGUGUUUUCGAGUUCAUUUGAUAUCACUCAAGCUAUUUCAACUAGUUUUAUGUUCGAUCUGGUGCUGAAAUAUUUGUUGGAAUCAUUUGAGCUUGAUUCUGUGUUGAAAUCAGCUGCUGCUUAUUGCGUAUUGCUACUAAUUCUUCCUUCAUCUCUAUCUUCAUUCAGGUACACGCUUUGAGAUUAUGUCGAUGUAGCUUCACUUGUUGAGAUCAUAAAAUGAAAUUGAAGCUAAUUUCUUUAUCUCUAUCUUCAUUCAGGUACACGCUUUGAGAUUAUGUCGAUGUAGCUUCACUUGUUGAGAUCAUGAAAUGAAAUUGAAGAUGAAUUUCUUUUGAGGAACCACAAUUUAAAUCAUUUUGUUAUGUUUCCUGUGAUAUAAUUAGUUGUUCAUUGUAACUGAAUCAAAACUGCUCCGAAAAUGUGCAAUAAUUGUGGACUGCUAGCUUGAACUCAUUAGAUAACUCCUAAACCUGUAAUUCUGUAGUUGUAUGGUGAUAAUAUAGUGUAGGCAUGUCUGCUUGCAUGGUUUAAUCUUCGACAUUAAGAGUUGGCUUGAAUCAGAAAUGAAGACUGUUUGGUUUUAAGUAACAACAUUAGUAAUUCAACUCUAGAGUUUCAAAUUACCUAAGCACUAUUUCAGAAGUUGUUAGUGUAUAUUACAACCAAACAAGCAGUCCGCUGGUGUUGAUCCUCCAUUGUCUCGAGCACAGUUGAUACGCGUGUGUUUGUGAAAUCAUGCCCAAUUGAAUUGUCAUGAUAUUUGAGGGUUCAAUGCAACUCAAUAAGUGAAAUCACAGGGAAUCGAACCCAAUUUCUUAGCAUUUUGCACGUUUGGAUUCAUUGUUAGUUAGGCCCAAUAUUUGCUUUCUUUUUGUUGAUAUAUCAAGUCCACAGAUGCAAAAUGAGAAGGCCAAGUCUCUCAUACACAUUUGACAAUUGGACCUGGCCAAACGUUGUUGGGACUCGAUCCUAAGAGUUCUUCCCACAUGUAUAGCAAAUGGAUCCAAUGUGGGUCCAAUACACUACUGUCUGGGCCUCCGUCUAAUUCAC
rnacentral:lncRNA from 1 species